rnacentral:rRNA from 1 species
UACGUAGGGUGCGAGCGUUGUCCGGAAUUAUUGGGCGUAAAGAGCUCGUAGGCGGUGUGUCGCGUCGGCCGUGAAAACCUGCAGCUUAACUGUGGGCUUGCGGUCGAUACGGGCAUCACUGGAGUUCGGCAGGGGAGACUGGAAUCCUGGUGUAGCGGUGAAAUGCGCAGAUAUCAGGAGGAACACCGGUGGCGAAGGCGGGGUCUCUGGGCCGAUACUGACGCUGAGGAGCGAAAGCGUGGGGAGCGAA